UAGAAACACUUAGCUAUAUAGCCUUGUCAAAGAGAGGCAACAGCCUGUUUGGAACCAGUCAUCUUUAGUCGCUAUUUCGUACCAGGCAUUGUUGGAUGUCUAUAUCCAAGAACAGUGUGCUGCAGUAUAUCCCAAUUCUAUUUAGAAUAAGACUGAGAAACUAGCAGCAUUCUGGUCAUUCAAACCAAUUAUGGUGUAUCCACCUACUAACUAAGGUGAUAUGGCCAGGAGGUGAAUAGCUUAGAAUAUAAAUAUCGCUUAGAAUAUAAAUAUCACUAAAUUGCUGGAAACAUAGCAACAGUCUGUUCUAAUGUGGAUAAUCCCAUAAAUCUUAGAGAACGAGUGUCACUAGAUUCAUAUACACGGGGAAAGUGUGCUGCAGUACAUCUCAAGCUUAAAGGAAUGGAACUGAGGAACUAGCAGCACUAGAGAAUAUACACCCCAAUUACGGUAUAAAAAAUAUAGUAUUUCAGCAUAUAAAGUUAGUAGAAUAGAAUAAGAGACCAUACUCCUGUGUCUUUCGAUUUCCAUUGAAUCCACCUCUCAGACUGUUAAAGGUCUAAUUUGUGCUGACUUACAAUGCUGCUUCGAGGCAGCCCCUGAUAGAAAGGGACUAAUGAAGCCUUUUGAAUGGAACUGAAAAGCUAGCAGCACUAAAUAAUAUAUAUACCUCAACUGUGGUAUAAGAUCGAUAGUAAUUCAAUAUGGAGGUAUAUAGGGUGAAAACACAAAGUAAAAAAAAGUUAUUUUCUAAUAUUGGAUUGUCAAAAUAUCCACCUCUCAAGCCGUUCAAAAAAUAAUCUGUGCUAGCCCUAAAUGUUGCUUCGAGGCAGCCCCUACUCUAAUGUACUCCUUGAAAGCAUUGUAAGAUAGUAGCUUGGCCUAUAGCAAAUACUACUACGAGCUUCUACCGGAUAUUUAAAGACAGUUAGAUCAGGUAAUGGGUAAGUUCCACACAUACUUAUGUCCACAGCACUUCUGCAUGCGGUAGCAAUAUUGAAGGACAACUGUAAUAAAAUUUUCAUGUUAAUUAUAUAUUUUUUCUAAAAUGAUAUAUACUGGGUUUUUUUCCAGAAAUUUCCCUUCUUAUAUCUGCAUUCUCCGUCCUCCACAUGUGGCCGGUGAUGGACAUGCAGGGGCACCUGGACGGACCUACCCAUGUUUUGAUGUGCAGGAGGCGUUGGAUCUGCAGACUCUUGAGUGGGGUUGCAUGGACCUAGUUUGUCUCUAAAUGAUCACUGUGCCAUCGGUGGACUGGUGUUCCAGCUUUGUGAACCUAAUUCAAAAGUGUGGGGUUGCGAAUUCCAUGUGUUACUAAGUGUUAUGCUCCUACUCUAUGUUGUGGGCCUUCAUGAGCUAUGCUUCAAUAAGCGAUCACGAGCCAUAUCAUAUUGCUGUCUACCACUCUAUUUUCUUCCAAGUCAAGCUGCAGCAAAGUUACCGUAUUUUUCGCUCCAUAAGACGCACCUCACCAUAAGACGCACCUAGUUUUUAGAGGAGGAAACCCAGAAAAAAAAA